CGGAUUCUACAUCCCAAAUGGCACACUAUUUCCAAAGUACAGUGCACUACUUUUCACAAGCAGUGCUCUAUCUAGGGAAUCGGGUGCCAUUUUGGGACGAGUAUUACUGUAGCAGUCAGAGUAGUCCUCCAAGCAUUAAUAACUUAUCCUGUGACUGCUACGAUCAAGGGGGAGUGAGGAAUGAGGGUUGCUGGUCCGUGAUACAUCCCUAGCACUUUGGAGCUGUCGAGGAGAGUAAUCGCUGCUCCGCAGUGUAGCCUAAAUAGAAAUGCUUCAAUAGCCCCCUCACCAACUGUAAAGGUCCCUUAAACAGCUGCAUUGCUUAUUUGUUUCGGAGCAGAAUGGUAAAUGCGCGCGAGCAAAAGUUGAGUGGAAAGGUGUGCGAGGUGAGAAGAAAUAAUGUUCAACUAGCUCUUACAAAGUCGAAAGCGAACAAGGUCUCCGCCAGGUAAACUAUCUUUAUCCUUCCACCGUCUCAUCACAACACUGGCCAAGGGGAGUUCAGACAGUCAUCCCAGCUCCAGACAGUCAUAUGACUCCCAAUCGUAUAACAGAUACAGUCUAUAAGUGGAGUUGAGACACAGACAGACUGCUGAGGAUGGCACGGGGAUCUGAAGUCACCUUCCUAAUUGUCUGUCUGUGGAAAAAGGGCAUGCUGUCAACAAAACAACCCUAGGCAACACCUUUAUGUUUCCUGUUAUUUUAUCAUCUUGGAGUCGAUUGUAGACCCAGAUGUUUUGUUUACUGUACUUAAAGCUAGUCAGCUUGUGAAAACUGAUCAAUGUGCAUGAUGUUAUCUGUCAGUUCAUUUCAGUGAGAUACCAAUUACACAGGUUGUGCUUGACAUACAUAUCCAGGAAGGUACUUUGUGCUUAAUGUAGAAAACUAGAUUGAGCUUGAAAUGUAUUACACAAAUUGCUUUUUCAAACCAUAAUGUUUUCAAGCGCUCCGUAUUUCCAUGUUUAUAAGUGUUACUGUAUACACUUUUUUGGUUCGCUGGCCCACCAUUUUAUUUUAAUAUUAAACCAGUGAAGGACAUCAUCAGUGGCUGUUUUCAAAGUGAAUACCUGUCAUCGGCCUGAACAGCAAUAUCCCAAAAAAUUCUGCAAUAAACAAACGUUACAAACAGA